GAUGAACGCUGGCGGCGUGCCUAAUACAUGCAAGUCGAGCGAACAGACGAGGAGCUUGCUCCUCUGACGUUAGCGGCGGACGGGUGAGUAACACGUGGAUAACCUACCUAUAAGACUGGGAUAACUUCGGGAAACCGGAGCUAAUACCGGAUAAUAUAUUGAACCGCAUGGUUUAAUAGUGAAAGACGGUUUUGCUGUCACUUAUAGAUGGAUCCGCGCCGCAUUAGCUAGUUGGUAAGGUAACGGCUUACCAAGGCGACGAUGCGUAGCCGACCUGAGAGGGUGAUCGGCCAAACUGGAACUGAGACACGGUCCAGACUCCUACGGGAGGCAGAAGUAGGGAAUCUUCCGCAAUGGGCGAAAGCCUGACGGGGCAACGCCGCGUGAGUGAUGAAGGUCUUCGGAUCGUAAAACUCUGUUAUUAGGGAAGAACAAAUGUGUAAGUAACUAUGCACGUCUUGACGGUACCUAAUCAGAAAGCCACGGCUAACUACGUG
rnacentral:rRNA from 1 species